AUUUUAUAACAUGAAAAAAAAGCCCAAAUGUGGGUCACCCCAUAAUGUCUCGCAUCAGCACAUGCAAUAUCAUCUCUUGAAUCAGCGGUUGGGUUUACAAACCGGCUGGGUUUCAGCGCGCGGAUUGGAAAGGCGGCAGCCCCAGCUGCUCCUGGUGCCGCCUGGCCCCUCCGAGCCCGACACGCACCAGAGCAGAACGGAUGGCAUGCAAAAGCUUUCUACCUACAACCACGCCUGCAGGAAGAAAAGGGAACUUCCAAAUUAGAAGCUUUGGCAAACAUUUGCUCACAGACAAAACACAGUUGUUCUGAGACGGGCUGUGGGGCGGGGGACCCGUGGCGGUGCGGGACUUUAUGGCUGGAGACGAGCAGAGGAGUCGCCCAAGCUGCGCCGUGCUCAGAGGCAUCUGCAAGGAAACCUGUUGCUGGCGUCUCUGGCAGAAGCCAGGCUCGCCCUAGCCAGCCUCCAGGGUAUUUUCCAGGCUGCUCCCGCGCUCACAGGGCGUUCGGCGCUCUCGGCACAGCUCGGGCUCGGCCGGCUUGGCUAGGACGUUGCCCGCUUGUCUUUCCACCCUUGGGUUUCGUCCUCUGCUUGCAGCGAAGCCCCACGCGGCAUCCACGACGCCCCGCCGGUGCCGCACGCCCGGCGUCGACGCAUGCCGGCCCCAUUGCGCCGCAGGGCAGGAAAUCGCCGGCAGCGCCGGGAUCCCCUUGACGCAGCGCCGGGGGUGGCUGAC
rnacentral:lncRNA from 1 species